GUGGGACUCAGUCUUUAAGAGGUUGAAGAGAGUGGCCUAGUCCCUUCAGCCCUUUUUGCCAUGUGAGGACACAGCAACAAGGCUCUAUCUAUGAAGCAGAGAGUGGGCCUUCACUGGACACCAAAUCUACUAACACCUUGAUCUUGGACUUCCCAGCCUCCAGAACUGUGAGAGAUAUUUUCCUAUUAUUUAUAAAUUGCCCCAUCUGAGGUAUUUUGUUAUAGCAGCCUGAACAGACUGAGACACAUUGGAAAGACAUUUUGUUUGUUUCCUUUUAAGAAGAAAUGCUAUUUUCUUCCAUUAGUAUUGCUGCUGUGUAAACAACAGGGACUUCUGCAGCCUUUGGUCAUUAUGAGGAAAAGAGUCUGCCUAAUGAGGAAAUGUGCAUGGAGGAAGUAGAAACAAGAGAUGGGGAAAUGGCCUUGGUACAUUGUUUGAGCUCCUGGAUUUAGCCAUACCUGAAGCAGUAUUACUCUUUCAGUUGCAACUGACAUAAUACUAAUAUAGUGUGAGCAGACAAAUUUCAUACAAAAAUAUUUCUGUACAAAAAAACUUGGAAGAAUAAGCCCCUAAAUAUUAAUUAUUAUCUAUGGGUAAUGGGGUAAAAGGCUACUUUUGCUUUCUUCUGCGUACUUUUCAGCAUUUUCCAAACUUUCCCAAAUUAUUUACUACUGGCCUAAUUUUUAAAUGUUAUUUUAAUGCGCUGUCCCCUAAGAAACUGUGGGAACUUUGCUGUGUUGUAGAGAAUCCUGCCUCCUCUGGUUUGACCCUUUUCACUGAGUAACAGUUAAGAUUUGAUACACUAUUGUAUCUUGUGAAGUGGGUCUUUGUUCAGCCCCUAAAUGCUAUAAUGGUGUUGGCAAACUUUCUGUAAAGGGCCAGGUUGUAAAUAUUUGAGGCUUUGCAGGCCAUAUACUGUCUGUGACAAGCAGUCAACUUUGCUGUUGUUGUGGCACAAAAGUAGUUGUAGAUAAUUUGUAAAUGAAUGAACAUGGCUAAGUAAAGUUUGUAAAUGAAUGAACAUAACUAAGGAAAGUUUAUUCCUAACUUUACUUAGGAAUACUGAAAUUAAUUUUUUUUUGAGACACGGUCUUGCUUUGUUGCCUAGGCUGGAGUGCAGUGGUGUGAUCAUAGCUCACUGCACCCUCAAACUCCUGGGCUCAAGCAGUCUUCAUGCCUCAGCCUCUGUAGUAGCUGGGAUUAUAGGCAUAAGUCACUGUGCCCAGCUUAAUUCUAAUUUUAUAUAAUGUUCACAUGUCAUCAGAUAUUCUUCUUCUUGUGAUUACUUUUCAACCAUUUAUAAAAGUAAAAACAAUUCUUAGCUCAUGAGCCAUACAAGGGCAGAUGCCAGGCCACAUUUUGUCCUCUAGCCAUAGUUUGCUAAGGCCUAUUCUAUACUACAAGGAUGUCUCAUUGUAUCAGCCAUCACUGCAUUUCAAAUUUCCAUGACCUUCUGGGUUGAGUCUCCAACAGGAAAUCUGGCAUGGUUUUUCAGCAAGCCUCAUGGACUUGGGGGUUGUUUAUGAUGUCUGUGUCUCCUCUGGAUUUGUGCUUCCUUUUACUGAGAUGCUUAUAGGAUCUUCCUCUUUUUCAACCUUUAUGUUAGAGUUAGCAUCCCUAUACCUUUGCUCAAGACAGCAGCCAUAGUCAAUUCUCAAAGUUGUCAAAGCCCUAUUUUGGCAUCUAAGGUUGAAUAUUCCUAUUUUGAAGAACUUUAAAGGAUGUUUUGUUAAUUGCUGCCAGACUGGCUUUCUUCUCUAUAAUGACCCCUAGGUGAGAGAAGUUUAUUGCUCUGCCAAAAAUAUUAAGUAAAUGACAAGUCAAUGACAAUUUACAUUUUUAGAAAAUAUUCAAUUUCAGAAUACUUUUGAAGUUUCAUUUUAAGAAGGAAAAGAAGAGUGAAAGAGUUUAUUUUGGUUGCUAUCUUGUGUCAGUUAAUAAUGUUUUCAGCUCUGACUUUUUACUUUUAUUUUUCGAGACAGGGUCUGGCCCUGUUGCCCAGGCUGGAGUGCAAUGGUGCGAUCUCCGCUCACUGCAACCUCAACCUCUUAGGCUCAAGCAAUCCUCCUGCCUCAGCCUUCCAAGUAGCAGAGACUACAGGUGUGCACCACCAUACCCAUCUAAUUUUUGUAUUUUUUGUAGAGAUGGGAGUCCCACUAUGUUGCCUAGGCUGGUUUCAGACUCCUGAGCUCAAGUGAUCCACUUGCCUGGGCCUCCCAAAAUGCCGGAAUUACAGGUGUGAGCCACCACACCCAGCCCAUUUUCAGCUAUGACUAACAACAAACUUAAAUUAAGGUGGAUAAACAAAUAUGGGUUUCAGGUCACAGAAAGUCAAGAGGCAGGCAUUCUGGUGUUGCUCCUGCUUUUCAACCCUGUGACUCUUGGUCCUUCCAACAUGAUGGCUGUUGAAGCCAGGGAAGGAAGAAGGGGAAGAGUCAGCAUUGGCUACAUGCAUCCUUCCAUCAGAUAGAGCAAAUUCCUUCCCAAAAGCCCUCAGCAGACAACUGAUUAAGUAACAUUACACAGAAUGGUAUCAUGUGACUAUUCGGGCUGCAAGGGAAGAUGAAAAAGCAGCAUUUAGCUUUUUCAGGCUCCAUGGUGGUAGGUGGGGGCGGAAGCUGGCAAUAGAGAAGGGAGUUAGGAAGAGUUGUUGGGUUGAUAUAACAUUUAUAUGAUACUGAAUAAAAUUCCCCAUGUCACGCAAAGCUUUUUUACCCUAUACCAUGGAAUGCACAGACUUCAUCUGUCUUGCUGACUGUCCAGCUCCUGGCACGUUGCAGUCACUCAAUAAAUAUUUGCUGAUUGAAUGAAUGAGUGAGUCAAUGACAAGAUCCCUGGGAAACUCAUUGUUGACAUUAUCAGGUCAUGAUGUGACCUACCCUUUCUAGGACAAUGCACUAACAAAGAGUCCUUUGGUUCACUCAGCUCCCUCCUGCUUUCACCUAUGGUUUAAUGCUGCACCAUAUGACAGAAUGCCCUUACACACAGCCCCACCAGUGGUCUCUGCCCCAUGGCUUAAACCAGGGGUGUCCAAACUUUUGGCUUCCCUGGGCCACAUUGGGAGAAGAAGAAUUGUCUUGGGCCACACAUAAAAUAUACUAACACUAACGAUAGCUCAUGAGCUAAAAACAAAAUUGCAAAAAAAAAAAAAUCUCAUAAUGUUUAAGAAAGUUUAUGAAUUUGUGUUAGGCCGCAUUCCAAGCCAUUGUGGCCCAUGGGCCAUGAGUUGGACAAACUUAGUUUAAACCCUUGUGAAAUGCCACCUGUUCCCUAGUGCCUUUCUGGGGGGCUAAGAGGAGAUGCACUGCUUCCAUCACGUUGCCCAGUUCAGAAUGAAGCUUAUUUAGUGGCUACCUAGAGCCAGAAAUCAUGAGAUGUAUUAAGAUCAUAAGAUGAUCAUAAGAUGCACUAAAAUCAUAAGAUGUAUUAAGAAGAUAAAGAUAAAGGUAGGGAGGUGCAGAACAAAUAUUCAUUUAGCCUUUCCUAUGUUCCAGACACCAUGCUGGAGAUUAUAUGUGAUUAUUCAAAAUUACUGAAGAGGAAGAAAAAGCUCACACAAUGAACUGUGAGUCUUUUAGAAAUGUCAUAAGUUAAAUAAAACAAGAUUAGGAAAAUGUUUAAUUACCAAAUACUAAAAACUGGUAGAAAAUGCUUAACAGUGCAUUAAGAGUGCAUUAAUUACCUUUUCUACCCCAAACAACCAAAGCAAUUAAAAAAGAAGGACAUAAUGAUAUUGCACAUUUAACAGACUGCAGUAUAAUAUAAACAUAACUUUUAUAUGCACUGGGAAAUUUUAAAAAAUUGUGACUCACUGUAUUGUGAUAUUCACCUUACUGUGGUGUUCUGGAACCAGACCUGCAAUAUCUACAAGAUAUAUCUGUAUUUUUAAAAAGUCAUUGAAAUUCCAAAGCUGGAGAGUUUAAUCUUGGCUGCAGUGGUCAGUCUAGAAUAAAGUAAGUAGCAUUUGAGAUAUGCCUUGAAGAAAGAGUUAGAAUUCAGUUGUUUGCACAGGUGAGGUGAGGGUUAUAGGCAUUCCUCCAGGAAGAAGGGAGAAGUAUUACCCCCAGUCUAAUGCUGUCACCUGAACACCUCAAGCCUUUGUUUACUGGGAUCUCUCCUCCAAAAGCUCCUGUGGCUUGCUGAGUUGUAAUAUUUAGACAUCUGCUGAGACAUCACCCGCUCAGAGAAAUCUUGCCCCAUCAUCCUAUCUAAAAUAACCCCACCCCACUGCCAUUUCUUACCCCCUUACCCUACUUACAAUCACCUGAACCAUAUUUUCUUAUUCAUUUGCCCAUAGUCUCAUAAUACAAUGAUUCUUUGUAUCCAUUUGCUAGGGCUUCCAUAACAAAAUACCACAGUGUGGGUGCAUAAACAAUGUAAACUUAUUUUCUCCAGUUCUGGAGGCUGGAAGUCCAAGAUCAAGGCAUCUGCAGGGCUGGUUUCUCCUGGGGCCUCUCUCCUGGGCUUGCAGGUGGCAGCCUUCUGGCUGUGUCUUCACCUGGCCUUUCCUCUGUGUGAGCAUACCCCUGGUGUCUCUCCAUGUCCUUAUCUUCUCUUCUUGUAAGGACACCAGUCAUAUUGGAUUAGGGCCCAACUUAAUAGCCUCAUUUUCACACAAUCACCACUUUAAAGGGCCCAUCUCCACAUAGUCCCAUUGGAGGUACUGGGAAUUAAGGCUUCAACAUAUAAAUUUGGGGGGACACAAUUCAGCCCAGAACACUCUUCUUUCAUCUUUCCAAAUAUAUUAUCAUCUCCCCUGCAGGGAUAUGGGCCACACAGGGACAGGGAUUUGGUCUCUCUCAUUGCUGAAUCUCCAGUGCCUAGAAUAGGGUCCAACACCCACCCCCCACCACACACACACACACACACACACACACGCACACACUAGGCACUCAAUGCAUAUUUGUUGAAGGACUAAACAGUGAAUUAAAGGGAUCCAGGUUCUUCUCAUUUGACUACAAAUGGUUAAUCUAGCUUAAUACUGGAACUUCCCCACUCAUGUCCAGAUCUGCCUGAUGUGUGUGGAGUGGUGCUGGCAUGUGUUGCUGAUGGCUCUGGUCCCUGCCUCUUGCUUUGGGUUGGACAUUUCUGCAUUCUGCAGCCUCCUGCCCUACUCAUCUGGUGGCCCACUACUCUGUCAGCCCUCAGUGUCCUCCUGUGGUGGCAUGCAAAAGAGCCUGGGCUGAUGUAUGUGUCCCUCAGGGUUGGUGCACUCCCCAAGAACUUUCUGUCUGAAUGCUUCCUUCUGCUCUCCCUAGGCUGAACCUGGAAAGCCAGAAACAAGCUUUCUGCUCAGGGAUUGCCUUCCCCACCUUUCUGGCAUACUUCGGAGUUUCUGUUCAUCCUGAUGCCCCUGGGAAUUUGACCUUAACAAGCAAUGAAGUCUCUCUCCUUCCCCUUCUAUCUGUUGGGACUUCCCUCACACCAGAUCCUCCUUGUUCCCUGCUUCAGCCUCACAGCAUGCUCUCGGUAGAGGAGAGGCUACCAGAAGAGAAGGAGGAGGAGGAGGAAGGGGAGGAGGAUGUGGAUUAAGAGAAACAGGAGGAGGAGAAAGAGGAGUGGAAGAAGGAGAAGGAAAAGAGGAAGCGCAAGAAGGGGAAGGAGGGAGGGGCAGAGGGGGAGGAACACCAAGAGGAAAAUUCUUCAGUAGGCAUUUCAAAAAUUGCUUCCUUGUUUCAUCACAAUGAUGGAAACUUUCCUAAUUGGGAGAGAGAAGUUGGUAAGGAAGAAGUGCAAGAGCCCUGAGCUACUUCUGUAUCUUUCUCUUGUGGACCCAGGAAGGUUUCACGGGCAGCUCAAGCAGGGAGAUCAGGCACCAUCAGCCAUUCUGACCACCCCAGUAUUAGGGAAAUUAUGAAUGUCCCACUUCCAACACCUGGAAGCAUCAGCCACUGACCAGCUAUGGCCCUCAGUCACCCGAGACCCAGAAUAAGGCAUGGAAUUCCACCAUGAACCAUGUGUGUUUAAAUGAGAAGGGAAGUCACUGAAUCCAGAUCUUUCUUUCUCAGCUAAUGAUCAGAAGUAAGUUUUGUGUGAAGCUUCAACAACUGUAAAUAGUAAAGCAUCAUUGCUCUGACCUCAACCUGCUCUGAACUCUUCUUCUAAUUAGAUGUCUCUGGUUUAUUCCUGUGGCCAAAGCAAGAUCUCUCUCCAGAUUUUCUAGGGUAUUCUCCACCUUCAGCCUCCUGGCAAGUGUCCCACCAAAAGAAAAUUGAAAAGUAUUAUGUAAUGUUAUCUUUGUUGAAUGUCCUCUUUGAGGGGCUGCUGCCAUUGAUAGGCAGUAGCAGUACAAGGAGAAGCUCAUGGUGCUGUUCGUACCUUUCCAAGUGUCCCUACCUAACUUAUCUAGACGGCCAUUGCUAUGGAUAGCAAUUUAUUGUGCUAUUAUAGAUAGCAUUUUAUUAUGCUAUAAAAUAUCUGUAAAAGGGGGAAAAUAAUAAAAUUUCUAGCUAUGAAUGAGCGUCCCUAGCAUCUUUAGGGAUGCUCAUUCAUAGCUUAACAAUUUGUAUGUGAUGGGAAAAUGCAUUUGUAAUUUUAUAUAAUAUUAUAGCCCACAGAACACUGGGUAUAUAGCAAUGAAAGUUGACUUCUUUGCCCCUGCUGUUGAGAGGAUGCUUAGAAGUGUUACCUAGAAUAUGACACAAAAUAGCCCAAUGGGAGAGCCAUUUUCUGCACAAACAUUAAGGAGAAAGUGGUCCUGCAAACCCGUGUGGUCUUAGGCACACAGAAGAAGGUACAAACAGGACUAGAAUAGAGUCUGUCUUUUUCUGGGCACACUGGUUAUCAUCAGCCUUCCAGGUUGAUUUCUAACAGAACCCACUAAAUCACUUGUGCAAGUUAUUGUUUACGCAUGUGUGUGAACUACUCAGGAUUCUUGCAGCUGUGAGUGAGAGAGACAUAGAGACAUAACUCAGACUGGCAUAAACUAAAACUAAAAGGGAAUUUAUCAGCUCCUGUUACUACCACGUCUGGGUUACUUCUGGCUUUAGACAGAGGUGGAUCUAGAAUUUGAACUGUGUUAUCGCCACCCUCAUCCCUCCCUCUUUAGCUCUCUCCUUCUCUCUCUCUGUUUUUCUCCACUUCACAUCUCACAUGUCUCUUCUUGGCCUCAGUUUUCAAAUAGUUGGGGACUCUCCAUAUGGCUGCUCUAGACUCAAUUCCCCUGGUUUAGCAACUGCAUAGAAAGAACUGUGCCUAUUAGCUCUGGUACAGAAAUCCCAGGAAGAGGCGGGCCUAUUUCAGUUUCCAUACGUAUCCUGUGGUUGCAAAGAUAGAAUACCCUCAUUGGCUAGGUGGAGAAGGGAGCUCUAGUCACAUGCAGUAGGCUUCCCAUAGUAAUGAAGGGUUCUGUUUCUAGAAUAAGUAGAGAUGGCACACUGGGCAAACAGGGACAACAUACUCACUACAAAUGUCUAUAUAAAAUUAUUUGUUUACAAUUCUAGGUUCUGGGUACAGAUAGUCUCAGCUAAUCCAUUUUGUUUAUUUUCUUAUUUAUUUAUGUGCUUUAUGAAGACUCCAUUGAGAAACUGUUAUUUUAAAAUAUGCAUCAGGGAAAUCCUCAAAGAUGGCUGACUAGCAGUGCCCAGUGCUUGUCUCCUCCACAAAGAAAGAAAAAAACAAAUUAGCCAGGUGUGGUGGUAUGCACCUGUAAUCCCAGCUACUUGGGAGGCUGAGGCAGGAGAAUCUCUGGCAACUGGAAGGCAGAGGUUGCAGUCAACCAAGAUCGUGCCACUGCACUGCAGCCUGGGAGACAGAGAGACUCCAUCUCAAAAAAAAAAAAAAAAAAAAGAGAGAAAGACCAAAACAACAAAUAAAUAACUGCACUUUGAGUAGAGUGUCUAAGGGAGAAUCCUGGAAUUCAUCAAGGAAGUGAUAAAAACUGUCUGAAACACAGAAAGUUGGGAUGGUAGAAGCAUAGAGAGGGAAGCAAAGCACUCAGCCAGGAUUGACUCAGAGUCAAGAGGGACUCCCUAUUGCACAAAGGUAAGUGAGAGUUACCCAGCAGUCCUCAUUACCAACAUGAAUGGUUAAAAUACUAGCUACAGGAGAGCACCACAGUCCUCACAGUCCCUGAGCCCAUUAGAAUGAGCUGCCUGGAGUCCAUGAGGCUGCACUGCUCUAAGAAGGAACUCAUGCUACGUCCCUCCCACUCCCUGAGACCCAAGAUGCCAUUUUGAGAACAGAUCUAUGCUAGACUGCAUCAUGUCCUGGGGCCUAAUAACCCCUGUAUCUCCACAUACCUGGGGUCCCACUGUUAUCCCACCAUGCUCACACAAAGUGUUGUGGUGCUACAACCACAGCUAGACACAGUGGUAUAGCCAUGUCUGCCACCUGAGACCAUGCACACCACAAGGAACAGGAGGUCUAGCACAGCAGGGAGGCCACCCCUGAGGUGUGGGGAGCCAAUAUAUGUGCUCAUCAGGGCCUGAGAACCAGCUUCCUGGUGAUCCCACACCCUCAACCAGCAGAGCUGCCACAUGUACUCCCAGGGCAGGGACCAGCAUACCUGGCACCUGCCACAACCAGCGACCCUGUCCCUUUGACUGGCAGAGCAGAACUACCCAGGGAACAGGUACUGCCCUACCCAGCACUAACUGUUGCUGGCAACAUCACCCCCAUGACCAGCAGAGCUGCCACACCUGGUGCAUGUUCCCCUAGAUUCUGAGAACUAGCUUGCCCAGCAGUCCCCAUCUCCAGUAAAAACACACUACUGCCACCACAAACAUCUGCAGUCUAGGCCAAUGAGACCACACACCAGUGAUUGAUUACAGCAGUGGAAAUCACAUGGAGACAAUGCUACUGCACUACCAGAACAAAAGCCAAAGGGAGGGAUGAGAGUUGUGAUAACACAGUUCAAACACUAGAUCCAGGCCUAUAGAAAGCUGGAAGUAACCCAGACGUGGUAGUAACAAGAGCUGAUAAAUUCCCUUUUUGUUUUUGUUUAUUCCAGUCUGAGUCUCUAUGUCUCUCUCACUCACAGCCAACGCUAUAGGACACAUCUAUAGGAAAAAGUCUUUCCCUAUGGAAGCUACUCCCUUAAACUAGAAGAGGUGACUGUUCCACCAGAUGCACAGAUAUCAACAUAAAGACCCAAGAAACACAAAGAAGCAAAAACAAAACGAAACAAAAAACACACAAACAAAUGAAACGAAACACAACACUUCCAAAUGAACAUAAUAAUUCUCCUGUUACAGACCCUAAAGAAAAGAAAAUCUAUGAAAUACUAAGAAGAACUUGAAAAUAAUGAUCUUAAGGAAACUCAGUAAGAUAUAAGAGAAUACAGAAUAACAAUUCAACAAAAUCAGAAAAACAAUUUCUAAACUGAAAGAGAAAUUCAACAAGGAUGGAGAUACCAUUAAAAAGAAUCAAACAUAAAUUUUGAAGCUGAUGAAUUCAAUGGAUAAAAUGAAAAAUACAAUCCAAAGCUUCAACAGACUAGAUCAAGCAAAGGAGUUUUAGAACUCAAAGAUAGUCUUUUGAAAUAACCCAGUUAGAAAAAAGGAAAGAAAGAAAAAGAAAAGAAAAAAGAAUAAAAAAGAAUGAAGAAAGCCUAUGGGGCUUAAGGGAUACCAUUAAGCAAAUUAAUAUUUGGAGUACAGGAAUUACAGAAGAGGAGAUGGAAACAGGCAUAGAAGACCUAAUUAAUGAAAUAAUAGCUGAAAACUUCUCAAGUCGUGGGAGAGAUAUGGACAUCCAGAUCCAGAAAAUUCAACAGUCUCUAAAUAGAUUCCACCCAAAAAGGUCCUCUCUAAGGUACAUUAUAGUGAAACUGCCAAAAGUCAAAGCAAAACAGAAUACUAAAAAGAGCAAAGGAAAUAUGUUAAGUCACAUGUAAGGGGCUCUCUAUUAGACUAACAACAGAUUUGUCAGCAGAAACCUUAUAGGCUAGAAGAGAAUAGGAUGAUAUAUUCAAAAUACUGAAAGAAAAAAAAUCUGCCAUGAAAGAAUAUUAUACCCAACAAAUCUAUCCUUUAGAUAUGAAGAAAUGAAGUCUUUCACAGACAAGCAAAAACUGAGGGAAUUCAUCACCACUAGAUUGGCUUUAUAAGAAAUCUUUAAGGGAGGCCUACAUCUGGAAGUGAAAGGACAAUUACUACCAUGACAAAAAUAUAAAACUAUAAAACUCAUUGUAGACCAGAGAUACAAAACAACCAGAACACAAUUCACAAAAUGAAAAGAGUACAUCUUCACCUAUCAGUAAUAACUCUGAGUGUAAAUGGAUUAAAUUCCCCAAUUAAAAAGAUAUAGACUGGAUGAAUGCAUUAAAAAAAAAAGACCCAAUUAUAUCCUGCCUAUAAGAAACUCACUUCACCUAUAAGGAUACACAGAGACUGAAAGUAAAGAGAUGGAAAAAGAUAAUCUACAGAAACGGAAACAAAAAGGGAGAAGGACUAGCUAUGCUUAUAUCAGAUAAAAUGAGAUAAAAUGAGAUAAAAUGGACUUUAAGUAAAAAAUUGUUAUAAAGAAAAAGAUGGUGUUGGUUCGGCUCCAUGUCCCCACUCAAAUCUCAUGUUGAAUGUUGAAUUAUAAUUCCCAAUGCUGGAGGUGACGUCUGGUGGGAGGUAAUAGGAUCAUGGGGGUGGUUUCUGAUAGUUUAGCACCAUCCCACUGGUGCUGUUUCGUGAUAGAGUUCUCGAGAAAUCUGGUUGUUUAAAACUGUGUAGCACCUCCUCCUUAGCUCUUUUCCUCCUUCUCUAGCCAUAUAAGAUGCGGAUCCUUCCUCUUUGCCUUCUGCCAUGAUUGUAGGUUUCCUGAGGCCUCCCCAGCCAUGCUUCCUGUUUAGCCUGCAGAACUGUAAGUCAAUUAAACCUCUUUUCUUUAUAAAUUACCUCAGGUAGUUUUUUAUAGCAAUGUGAGAAUGGACUAAUACAGCUGAUCAUUAUAUAAUGAAAAUAGAUCAAUACAGCAAGAAGAUAUAACAAUUAUAAAUAUAUAUGCAUCCAACACUGGAACACCCAGAUAUAUAAACCAAAUAUUAUUAGACCUCAAGGGAGUAAUACAUUCCAAUAUAAUAAUCGUUGCAGACUUCAACAUCCCACUCAUCAUUGAACAGAUCAUCUAGAUAGAAAACCAACAAAGAAACAUCAGAUUUAUUCAAGACCAGCCUGGCUAACAUGGUGAAACCCCAUCUCUACUAAAAAUACAAAAAUUAGCUGGGCGUGGUGGUGUGUGCCUGUAGUCCCAGCUACUCAGGAGGCUGAGGCAGGAGAAUUGCUUCAUCCCAGGAGGUGGAGGUUGCAGUGAACCGAGAUUGUGCCACUGCACUCCAGCCUGGGUGACAGAGCAAGACUCCAUUACAAAAAAAAAAGGAAGAAAGAAACAUCAGAUUUAAUUUGCACUAUAGACUCAAAUGGCCCUAACAGACAUUUACAGAACUUUUCAUCCAACAGCUGCAGAAUAAACAUUUUCUCAUUAGCGCACAGAAUAUUCUCCAGGAUAGACUUCAUGUUAGAGUACAACACAAGUCUCAACAAAGUUUAAAAUAUUGAAAUCAUAUCAAGUAUCUUUUCUGCCCACAGUGAGAUAAAACUAUAAAUUAAGAACAAGAGGAAUUUUGCAAAUGGUACAAAUACAUGAAAUUUAAACAACAUGCUUCUGAAAAACCAAUUGUUCAACGAAUAAAUUAAGACAGAAAUUUAGGCCAGGCACAGUGGCUCACACUUAUAAUCCCAGCACUUUGGGAGGCCUAGGCAGGUGGAUCACCUGAGGUCAGCAGUUUGAGACCAGCCUGGCCAGCAUGGUGAAACCCCAUCUUUACUAGAAAUACAAAAAUUAGCUGGGCAUGGUGGCACUUCCCUGUAAUCCCAGCUACUCAGGAGGCUGAGGCAGGAGAGUCUCUUGAACCCAGGAGUUGGAGGUUGCAGUGAGCUGAGAUGGCACUACUGCACUCUAGCCUGGGUGAUAGAGCAAGACCCCAUCUCAAAAAAAAAAAAAAAAAAAAAAAAUCAAAAAAAUUUUCUGACAAAUGAAAACAGAAACACAACAUACCCAAAUCUAUGGAAUACAGCAAAAGUAGUACUAAUGGAAGGUUUAUAGCAAUACAUGUCUACAUUGAAAUAUAAAGAUUUCAAAUAAACAACCUACUAAUGCACCUUAAGGAACUAGAAAAGCAAAAAACAAACCGAACCCAAAAUUAGUAGAAGAAAAGAAAUAAUAAAGAUCUGAGCAGAGAUAAAUAAAGACUAAAAAAGUACAAAAGAUCAAUGAAAUAAAGUUUGUUUUUGAAAAGAUAAAAUCAACAAACCAUUAAUUAGAAUAACUAAAUGAAAAAGAGAGAAGACCCAAAUAAAUAAAAUCGGAAAUAAAAAGGAGACAUUACAACUGAUACCAGAGAAUACAAAGGAUUAUUAGAGACUUUAUGAGCAACUAUACACCAACAAAUUGGAAAACCUAGAGGAAAUGGGUAAAUUCCUGGAUACAUACAACCUACCAAAAUUCAACUGGGGAUCGGGUGCAGUGGCUCACACCUGUAAUCCCAACACUUUAGGAGGCCAAGGUGGGCGGAUUACUUGAGGUCAGAGUUCGAGACCAGCCUGCCCAACAUGGUGAAACCCUGUCUCUACUAACAAAAAUUAGUCAGGUGUGGUGGCACACGCCUGUAGUCCCAGCUACCUGGGAGGCUGAGGCAUGAGAAUCGCUUGAACCUGGGAGGCAGAGGUUGCAGUGAGCUGAGAUUGCACCACUGCACUCCAGCCUGGGUGACAGACUGAGACUCCAUCUCAAAAAGAAGAAAGAGAGAAGAAGAAAGAAAGAAAGAAAGAGAGAGAAAGGAAGGAAGGAAGGAAGGAAGGAAAGAGAAAGAGAGAGAGAGAGAAAGAAAGAGAGAAAAAGAAAGAAAGAGAAAGAAAGAAAGAAGAUUCAACUGGGAAGAGACAAAGCCUCAACAAGUCUAUAAUGAGUAAGAAGAUUGAACGAGUAAGAAAAAGUCUCCCAAAAAAGACAAACCCAGGACUAGAUGGUUUCAAUGUUGUAUUCUACCAAGUUUUUAAAGAAAAAAUAACACCAAUUCUUAAAUUUUUCAAAAACAUUGAAGGAAGGAAUUCUUCCAGACUCAUUGUAUGAGACCAGCAUCACCCUGGUACCAAAACUAGACAAAGACAUAACAAAAAAGAAAACUACAGGUCAAUAAUACUGAUGAACACAGGUGCAAAAAUCUUCAACAAAAUAUCAGCACACUGAAUCCAAUAGCACAUCAACAACAUUAUACACCAAGAUCAAGUGGGAUUAAUCCAAGGGAUGCAAGGAUGGUUCAACAUAUACAAACCCAUAAACAUGACACAUCACAUCAGUAGAAUGAAGAACCAAAAUCAUAUGACCAUCUCAACAGAUACAGAAAAAUCACUUGAUAAAAUUCAACAUCCCUUCAGGAUAAAACUCUCAACAAAUUAGUUAUAGCAAGAACAUACCUCAACACAAUAAGGGCCGUAUGUGACUAAUCUACAGCUAACAUUAUACUGAAUGGGGAAAAAUUGAAUGCUUUUCCUCUAAACUGGAACAAUACAACUGGAUGCUCAUUUUCACCACUCUUACUCCACAUAGUACUAGAAGUCCUAGACAGAGCAAUUAGACAAGAGAAAGAAAUAAACGGCAUCUGAAUUGGAAAGGAGGAAAUUGUCCUUCUUUGCAGAUGACAUAAUCUUAUAUUCAGAGAAACCUAAAGGCUCUACCAAAAAAACUCUUACUUCUAACAAAUUCAGUAAAGUUUGUCAAGUCUGAGAGUGUUUUUGGUGGAGCCUUUAGGUUUUUACGGUAUGAAAUCAAUAUUACCUAACAUUAAGAAAAAUUAGUAAUGUUUCUAUACGCCAAUAAUGAACUAGCUGACAAAUAAAUCAAGAAUGCAAUCCUGGCUGGACGCGGUGGCUCACGCCUGUAAUCCCAGCACUUUGGGAGGCCGAGGCGGGUGGAUCACAAGGUCAGGAGAUCGAGACCAUCCUGGCUAACACGGUGAAACCCCCAUCUCUACUAAAAAAAUACAAAAAAUUAGCUGGGCGUGGUAGCAGGCACCUGUAGUCCCAGUU
rnacentral:lncRNA from 1 species